rnacentral:rRNA from 1 species
UGGGGAAUAUUGGACAAUGGGCGAAAGCCUGAUCCAGCCAUGCCGCGUGUGUGAAGAAGGUCUUCGGAUUGUAAAGCACUUUAAGUUGGGAGGAAGGGCAGUAAGCGAAUACCUUGCUGUUUUGACGUUACCGACAGAAUAAGCACCGGCUAACUCUGUGCCAGCAGCCGCGGUAAUACAGAGGGUGCAAGCGUUAAUCGGAAUUACUGGGCGUAAAGCGCGCGUAGGUGGUUCGUUAAGUUGAAUGUGAAAGCCCCGGGCUCAACCUGGGAACUGCAUCCAAAACUGGCGAGCUAGAGUAGGGCAGAGGGUGGUGGAAUUUCCUGUGUAGCGGUGAAAUGCGUAGAUAUAGGAAGGAACAACAGUGGCGAAGGCGACCACCUGGGCGCAUACUGACACUGAGGUGCGAAAGCGUGGGGAGCAAACAGG